rnacentral:rRNA from 1 species
GACAGAGGUGCCAAGCGUUAGGCGGAAUCACUGGGCUUAAAGCGUGUGUAGGCGGAUGCCUAAGUACCUUGUGAAAUCCCACGGCUCAACCGUGGAACUGCUUGGUAUACUGGGUGUCUUGAGCCAUCUAGGGGCUACCGGAACAAAUGGUGGAGCGGUGAAAUGCGUAGAUAUCUGGAAGAACACCAAUGGCGAAGGCAAUGUUCUGGCUCGUUUUCUGACGCUCAGGUGCGAAAGCCAGGGGAGCGAACGGG